UGCGUUCAGAAAUAAUGACAAAUUAUUAACAGUUACGCGUGUGUUCAGAAAUUUAUUUUGUGUAAAUUAAAGUUUCUAUUCACGUUUUCGAACAAACGAUGCUCUUUCAAUAUAGUCUAUUGGUGUGAAUGACAUUGACAUUCGUAUUGCGCGUUUUUUAAAAUAUGCAAAAUUAAAUGUAUUAUUUUCAAUAUUUCUGAGAGAUUAUCUUAAUAUUUCUUCGAGUUUUAAAGACUAAGAAGAUUUUUAUUUGCUAAUAAGUGUUUGUUAAUCAAGGUAAGUUCACAUCUUCAUUAUUGAUUUUUAGUAACUUUUGAUGACUACACAAUACUACAAUUUGGUAUACACGGUUACGCAGAAAAUGUAUGAGAGCUUUUUAUUUUCAGUUGGAAUUUCGUUUUUAACAAUGCUACCAACCAGACGUACAAGCUUAGGCCGCAGAACUCGAAAUACGGCAAGUCAAAGAAAUAUAAGAGUAAAUCAAACUGAUGAGCAUCGCGAAGCGCGAAAUGAACUUAAACUGAAUCAAUAUCAAGAUAGAAAUGUUGUGUUUAAUCCAUCAAGAUAGAAAUGUUGUGUUUAAUCCCCACAAAGCUGCAUUCAGUUAUAAUGUGGCAAUUGAUUACAGUUCAGAGCAAAUUGUUGCUAUUGGACUAAUGAACAUUGUGUGUCCACAUUGGGAUUGAAAUUAAAAAAUUAAGCCUCUGGAUUGUGUUGAGCCAGCGGCCAAGUCAAAUUGACGCCAUUGGUACCGCCACCAGAGCCACUACAUUCAUUGGUUCAUUUUGGACUCAUAUCCAGUAGUACAAUAAUUGCUUUCAAAUGACAUCAUUUGGGGCAACAAAAGUUAUACGAGUCAAUUUUUUGCCUACUUUUAGGAAAUUCAGGGAUUCAAAUAUAUCAUCAAACAGGUUCCUUAUUGCCAGUGCCUGUUGAAGACUAUACAUUUUUGCAAAUAUAUUUUAUGGUACAACUCAUAAAGAGAUCCAUUGUGAUGAACAACUUCAAACAUUUUUCCUUUAACACAAUGAAUUAGUUGCAUUAGACCGAUGCAUUAGACAUUCACAAAUGCAUUAGACCGCAUGCCAUCAGAUAAUCACAAAAUUGUCAUCAGAGCCGAUAAGGCGCCUGCAGGACAGUGAAAUGAUUGAAUCCUAUGAAAUAAACACUAUUAUGAAAAUA